rnacentral:rRNA from 1 species
UACGUAGGGCGCAAGCGUUGUCCGGAAUUAUUGGGCGUAAAGAGCUCGUAGGCGGUUUGUCGCGUCUGCCGUGAAAGUCCGGGGCUCAACUCCGGAUCUGCGGUGGGUACGGGCAGACUAGAGUGAUGUAGGGGAGACUGGAAUUCCCGGUGUAGCGGUGAAAUGCGCAGAUAUCAGGAGGAACACCGAUGGCGAAGGCAGGUCUCUGGGCAUUAACUGACGCUGAGGAGCGAAAGCAUGGGGAGCGAACAGG